rnacentral:rRNA from 1 species
ACGGAAGGCAGCAGUGGGGAAUAUUGCACAAUGGGGGAAACCCUGAUGCAGCGACGCCGCGUGAGUGAAGAAGUUAUUCGUAAUGUAAAGCUCUAUCAGCAGGGAAGAAAAUGACGGUGCCUGACUAAGAAGCCCCGGCUAACUACGUGCCAGCAGCCGCGGUAAUACGUAGGGGGCAAGCGUUAUCCGGAUUUACUGGGUGUAAAGGGAGCGUAGACGGUCUGGCAAGUCUGAUGUGAAAGGCAGGGGCUCAACUCCUGGACUGCAUUGGAAACUGUCAGUCUUGAGUGUCGGAGAGGUAAGCGGAAUUCCUAGUGUAGCGGUGAAAUGCGUAGAUAUUAGGAGGAACACCAGUGGCGAAGGCGGCUUACUGGACGAUAACUGACGUUGAGGCUCGAAAGCGUGGGGAGCAAACAGGAUUAGAUACCCUGGUA